rnacentral:rRNA from 1 species
UUUAAAUGUAAAUUUAUAAACUAAAUUAGUAAUAGAUAUGAUCUUCAAAUUUAAAUAUUUUGGCGGUAUUUUAGUCUAUUUAGAGGAACCUGUUCUGUAAUUGAUAAUCCACGAUUAACUUUACUUAAUUUUAAAAAUUUGUAUAUCGUUGUUUAUAGAAAAUUUUAAAAGAAAAAUAAUUUUUAAUAAAUUUAAUUAAAUUUUAAAUCAAAUCAAGGUGCAGUUUAUAAUUAAGUUAGUAAUGGGUUACAAUAAAUUUAUUUAUUAAUGAAUAUAAAUUUUAAAAUAUUUAUUGAAGGUGGAUUUGAUAGUAAUAUUAUUAAAUUAAAUGAUAUGAUUUUAGCUCUAAAAUAUGU